CAAACAAGAGUAUACCUAAAUAAACAUCGUAUUAUAAGUUUCUUGAGUUAGUCUCCUCAUGGCCGCCUUUUAAUUUGGGAUAAGAGCAAAUAAAAAAUAAAGAGACCCAAAGUUUCUCAUCUUACAAUCAAGUUUGUAUUUCGAGGGAGAUUCCAUAAUUAGUGGAAGGGUAGUAUGGUAUGAGAAGGUUGAAGCUGCAUCCACACUUUAAAUUAUUUAAACUUUCAUUUAAGGGGACGUGAUAGAAUAUAAUUUAUAUUCUUGGGCUACUUUCACGACCCACGAAUAGGUUUUAUACUCUAUCAACUGCAAAAGUUGGCCAAGACCAAAUUAAAGAGAACUAAUACAUGCGUUCUCCAAUUGUAACAAUUAUUUUCUUAUCUCGAUCCCAAUUUGUUUGAUCCAAACUUGAAAAAAACUAGACUUUUCAA